GUUGCUAUAAUAACCAGUUAUUGAGCAGAGCCAAGGCAUAGAGAGGGCCACUGACUACCAGUGGUAGCAGUAUGAGUCCUUGACUUGAGGAAGUCUCAAAUCAGGCUCCCCUGUUACAUCAUGAGCCUUUAAAUCUGAAAGAGUUUGUCAGGGAGUUCAUUAGCACCAGGAUUUCCUUCUUGGUGUUGAGCACUAUUAAAUUGGUGGGAGUAUGCAGCUGACCCAAACAGGCCUUGAUGGUGUUUCUACUGCUACAGCUGUGCUGUUCCCCAGGGUCUGGGUUAAAAGUUUGCUUCCCAUCCAGCAGCUCCUGAGAUCUUCUUGCUGUGUCUUGUAUCAUGAGCUGCUGUCAACUAGCUCACCGUGUCAACAUGAUGUUGCUGGACUGCUUGCUUGCAAUAGGAGCAUGAGACCAAGCUCUCAGCAGCUAAAAGACCUCCUGAGAAUGACAAAGCAUGGGGGCUGACAGGUACGUGAGGCAAUGCACUGACUCCUGUGGAGGUCUGGUCUGCACUGUCUAGCUACUGGUGGACUGCACUCUCUGCACUAGAACUUCCAGGAAGAGAAAACAAAGGACAGAAAGGUUAUCCUGAAGCUCUCAAGUAACUCUGUAUCAUUAUUCAUUAAUUGUACUACAGCUGCACCAAAAAAAAAACAAAAAAAAAAACACUGGAAAGGUAGUAGUAUUCUAAAAAUACCUUCUUUCCCAAAUUAAUCACUUUUUUCCUGACAUCCCCAUAGACACAAAUUUGUAUACACAUACUUUUUUGGCCUAUUUACCAUCUCUAAAUUUGACUCAAUGGAAUUAGCCUAGAAGACAGAUCCUUUUUCUUACAGUAGUUUAGAUUGACAUAUUACCUAUUCCAUUCAGUGGGAUCCCUUCCUCCUACUUGACAGCAUUUUUUAUGAGCAAGAAAAUAAUCUGCACAGACAAAUUAAGUCCUAUUUAUUCAAGCUUCAUUGUGAAAAAGUUUUGGAUACAAGAUCAUGCAAUCUAUUAUGAUCUUUAUUUAAGGGCAACCAAUUAUCUUCAAAAAGUAAUACCCAAUAAGAAUCUUAGAUUUAGUUCUAGAUGAAAACUUUAAAAUUCUUCAGCAAUGAAAACAGAUAGCGCCAUUUCCCAAACAAACAUAUACCAAUCAGAUUCUUGAGAAACCUGUAUACUUUAUUCUUUAAAAGACAUUGCAUAUGUUCAAGCAAUUUCAUUAGCAAGUAAAAAAAUAUAUAUUUUUUCAACCCAAAUGUUCUUCUUUCAUCCAAAACCUUAAAAAAGUCCUCAAAAACAAGAAAAAUCAUCUUCUGAAUUUAAAUGUUUAAUGUCUGUUAUAAACCUGUAAUAUAGUUCUUAUUGGUGGAAAAAGGAUUUUAAAAGAGAAAAUGGAAACUUAAUGUUAACUGACUACAAAAACAAAAAAUCAUUUUCCACCUUGCAAAAACAUUAAACAUUCUGUCUUGUAUUCUGAAACAGCCUAGUUAGUAUAUGUUGCUAGUUCUCAGUGAGUGAUCUAUAAAUUGAUGUGCUAUAAAAGACUGAGAAAGGAUUAGAAGUAUCUGAAAAAUCCACUGCCAAAAUAAAGUUGUUAUUUAUUUAAAUAGAUGGCUUUUUUCUCCAGUUUCCUAUCAAGAUAUAUAUUUACUGUCCCUUGGCCUGGUCAGAAAGGACACUCUUACUUUCAGAUUAUGUUUGUUAUGUUGUCAACAAAGAAAGCAUAGCUGUUACAUUUUGGACACCUGUCCAAUGCAACCUCAUCUGUUAACCCACCUAGUUAAAUUUUGUAUUCUUACCUUGAACAGAAUCCAUUUUAGCUUUAAUUAACAUUCUUAAUCUUGCCACCUCUUGUCGUUUCAGUUCAUCCAGCCGUGUUCUCACAUGGUGGCUCACUAAGUCAAGUUCUCUGCUUAGUUUUCCACUCUGUCAAAAAAAAAAAAGUUAUCAGUUAUCGAUAAAACUAGAAGUAGCCUUCACAAUUCCCAUUAAUCAGCAAGACAGCAGACUACUAGUACUGGCAAAGACUGACAGUAGCCCAUGCUAUUAGAAUCUCAAAUUCUUUUCAAAGAGCAUAUUCAAUUUUUUUAAGCUUAUAGUUGUAGAAACAGAGAAUCCCAGAAGCUUUCUGAGAAGAGAAUUUCUAAACAUCUUGCUCCCCUGAAGAGCAGAAGUGUGACCUUUCAGCAACUUGAUGAGGUAUUGCUGCUGCAGUGACAAAUUGCUUGAUCAAAUGUUCUCAAAUUGGUUCAAAAGGGCUGUGAGAUAAACACACAAUGCUGUAUUCUCCAUACAUUUGAUAACAGCUGAAGGACUUGGGAGAAGAUACAAGCGCAAUGACAGCUGCCAGCAUGUACUGCAAGAAUAUUUAUCAGUCUCUGGAAAUGGUUAGUAACCUUCAAGAGCUGCACUAGAUGUAACACAGAAGAAAGAAGAGUCAAGAACUGCCAACGGCACCAUGAGAAAUUAAAAGAAAUGCAGAAAGCAGUCCUCUCUGUCUGUCACUUCAGACUAUGUCCCACCUGUCCCUUGCAGAAUUUCUAGCUCAGAAAUGGGAAAGUAGAACAACCACCACCUAGAGCUAGAAAUUGAAACCCGUAAGACAAAAAUGAACUGGAGUUUUGGAGAUAGUGCUAUUUGAAUUGGCACAGAAGAAAGGACAGCAGUGGAGAAUGCCAGAAGUCUGUUAUUCUGGAAUUUACACACAAUGACUUUACCUCUAGUACAACUCUUCAACUUCCCCAGACUUCAAAAUCAGACUUUCUUUUAAUUCUCUUCCACAGUGUAUCACUAAUCAAUAUGACAAUAUCUUAAUCUCAGAAGGCAUAUAAAUCCCUGUCUGAAUUAGUGUUCCAAAUUGCUCAGCAGGAAAAAGCAAGUGAUAGUUAGGCUUGCAGAGGUAAAUGAACAUACAUCCUGGAUGGAGUCUGAAACUGGAUUUUUAGUGGAUAGGCAGAAGGCAGAAACCAUGCAUUCAAGUCUAGAUUUCAUUUUAUACUACGGAAUAUUCUUGAAGGAAUAGAACACCUGCUGUCUCUUUACUAAAGGAAAAGCUCUAGCAAGAGCUGAAUAUCUCGGUAAAUGAAAAAUGAGAGGAAAUUUAAGCUCACAAAAACUAAGAGGAGUAUGAAGGAAAAAGCAAAGAAAGAUUACAUCUGUCUUGCACAGUUCAUGAUUACGGAUUUAAUUAGACUCACUUAACAUUAUGUACCUACCUUUAUUUCUUCUAUGUCAGCAGUCUGGAGUUUUUCCCUGAAAUGCUUAUCUGUUUCCAAGACAUCUAUUACUUGCCUGAGAUAUUCAUCAUAAUAAAGCCCUGUAUCCUUCAAAAAAGAAGGUUACAGUUAGAAAAGAAAGAAUACGCUACCAAGUAUCUUACUUCAUUCAAAUACAAUUAUUAAACUAAACUCCAAUUCUCAGCUACACAGGGAUUAAGCUGUCCUAAAUAUCUUUCACUUUUCUGAUCUGCAUCGUUGCCCUAUAGCAACUUACUCUUAUGAUUCAUUUGUCAGUAACUGAUGACAGAGGAGGAAGAUAUUUAACAAUCCAUGUCAUAUGCAAGCAUCUGUCAUGUUAAUAUAGCAUUGUUUUCUUUUUUUUAAACAGUGCAAUUAAUUCAUUACAUGAUUUCAAGAGCAGUUCAGAAUAGUGCCUAUUCUUUUCCCUCAGAUGCAAAAGAAAAUAGAGACUAUUUGCUGCAUUUCCUAGAAAUCUUUUUAGAAAGACAGCCACCCCCAGUCUGCCAGAAUCAACGACGAGAAGUUAUACUUGGCUUUAAUCAGCGUAUCUGUCAAAAAGUAAGCAGAUAUUAUGUCUGGGAAACAUUUAACGUUAGUAUGAGAUUACUGAACCUGCACAGCUGAGGGCAGAUGAACCAGAACUACAACCAGGACUUAACCUAUUAGGUAAACUUUACACUAGGUCAGUUUAUCUUCCUGUGGCAUGCGCUCUCUUUAUGCAUUUUCCUGUGAUGCUGUGGUACAAAAAAAAAAAAACCACUCUCAGUAAGGGUAAUCCAGUGGAAAUAGAACUGCUAGACUCAAUAAUUUCAUUUUGGAAAAAAAAUCUGCUUCAACAAGAGUUUAUUUGGCUUUCAGGGAACAACGGUAUUGUUCAGUUAUUAAAAGCUGAAACCGGAGAUUUGUUUCUUGGAAAAAAAAAAAAAAAAAACUGCAAGUACAUUACUGUAGUACAUUGCGAAGUACUUUAGCAAGUACAAGAUCUCCAAUGUGUUUUCAUUGAAGACGCUUGUAGCACUUACAAACACAGUAUGUCUGUUGUUGAAAAAACUUCAUACUUGCAAAAGCUAACUGUGUUCCCCUGAUCAAACAUUUUCCUGUUCUAUUUGAAGCACUGAACUGGAAACAUUGAAUGGAAUUUCCUAAGCCACCACUUUGAAAGAAGUCUCUGUGGAAAAAUAAGCAGCGCUUCCUGUUGUAAACUGGGGAAUUCAUUCACUUUGCUACCUCACCUUUAGCAGCUCACAGAAAAUAACUAAGAAAA